AGGAAGUUAGCUCAUUGGUAGAGCAAUCGACUAAUAAUCGAUGUGUUACAGGUUCGAUUCCUGUACUUUCACCCA
rnacentral:tRNA from 4 species